CAACAACGAGAAAGAGAAGAUUCUAAUCGAGUUCUGAAGUAAUUUGGGCACUGAUUUUUCUUUACGGGGUUACGCAUCGCUCUGAAGUUUUUGAUCGUGGAAUAAGUAUUACGGCUGUUCAGAUUAUGGCUCCAAAAAAUCGUCCUCCUCAUAGCAAGCGUAUAACGUGUGAAGCAUUUGAGCAUCCUGG